AAUAGCGAAUUUCACUUCUGAAUUAGUGAAAAUUUCGCUAUUUGAUCAGUGAAUGUAGUUGUCACUGGAAAAUAGUGAAUCCCACUUUUGAAUUAGUGAAAAUUGCGUCUGCGCAUAAAUCCACUGUCUCUCGUCGUUUAGUUGCGUCUUGUUGACAGUGAAACUCGUGAGUGAAUCGUUUAAACCGAGGAAAUUGAUAAUUUGUGAGGAGAUUUAUAAUUAAAGAUUACAUUUUAUUAUUCACCGAAAAAUAUCAUAAAAUAAGAAGGAAGGGCUCGAUACACGUUUAAAAUAAUAAUUAAUUUCUGCAAAUAUAAAUUCAAUGACUGAGGAAAAUAAUUACGAAGACGAGUUAAGAAAGUUUGGCGUUUCGGAAGAAACAUUGUCUACUUUGAGAGGAGGGGACUAACUUGCCUUAUUCAGUCAAGGAAUCGGCUUUGAAGUCAAACACGGCUGUUCAGCCAUAUAUUUUGUGCACCAAAGGACAAAAUGGGUGCAACACUUAUUUUGUCCAAGGAGAUGGCUUCUUUCUCAAACCUUCAAACAAUGAACCAGUGAAUGCUUUCGAUUUGUUGUUUAAAGUUUACUUCGCGUUAAAUUUAUGCUAUCCCAUUGGUUUACAAAAUUUUUUUAAUUUUAUGGACAGUUAUGUCUACGAGGUAAAUAAUGAACCUCGUGGCAUUGUUACAUCAUUUCACGUAAAUUUAACUAAUUUAACAUUAGACGAAACUACUGAAGGCAUGAAUCUCUCAGAUAAUUAGUGCAACACUUGUCAUCAUUCGUUCGAUUAUAUAAUUUUUAUUUCUUUGCACUAUUUCAGUAAUUAUAUUUCCUAUAAAUGUAAAUUUACAAAUAAAAUUUGUAUUUUUCUUUAAA